CGGUGGGUAGGGCCGGGGGUGUAGUCGACCCCUGUAACCAGAAGACUAAGCUGGGGCCAGAUGAACCCGAGGGGCGGUGAAAGCUCCUCCCAGCUAUGCGCGUGAGGAGGUGAUGAAGCUACCACCCGAGGGGCCUAUGGAGGAGUAGGAGCUCCUGGAGAGGAGCCCCCCUACUCCUUACCGCCGAACCGGAGGAGGCUCGGAAGAGAGCACUCCUAAGGCGGACAUCAGGCGUUCUCGGGCAAGGGGCUGAAUCGCCCUCACGCUGCCUCUGGCUGGAAGGAGCUUCAUCCACCCAAGGGGGCCACCG
rnacentral:SRP_RNA from 1 species